rnacentral:rRNA from 1 species
CAUGCAUGUGUAGUAUAAAGACCAAGAAGGAUGAAACUGCGGACGGCUCAUUAGAACAGUUAUAAUUUCUUUGAUUAGUACGAUACAAGGAAUAGCUUUGUGAAUAAUAAAGAUAAUACUUGAGACAAUCCCAGUUGUUUGUACAAGUGGGCGCAUUCCCGAGGAAUGCAGAAAAGAAGUUUAUUAAGAAAAAGAACAAAUUUACAAUUGUAGAAAUUCGAGGAAUUUGACAAGGAAUCAAUGAGAAUAUCUGAUCUAUCAACUAGUUGGUAGUAUAGAGGACUACCAAGGUUAUAACGGAUAACGAGAAAUUAGGGUUUGACAUCGGAGAAGGAGCUUUCAAAAUGGCUACUACUUCUAAGGAAGGCAGCAGGCGCGUAAAUUACCCACUUUUAACAGAAAGAGGUAGUGACGACAAAUAACUCUAUUUUUGCUAUAAAACAAAAAUUGAAGGGAUGAAUAGAACGUAAAUAGUUAUAUGAAAGCAAU